UUGAGACCAACAACAUGCAAAUAAUAUCUUGCAUUUUGAUUUGCGAUAGUGAGGCAACAAGCUAGGUUUUGAUUCUUGAGGUGCAAAUACAGUUAGAAUAUAAAUCCUCUAUAUAUAAAACGUUUUGGAAGAGCAUAAUACUGUUCAUCAUGAACAGUACACUCACUGUUCAUUCGCUUUUUCACUUUAAACUUUACUCCUGCUUCCUCAUCCUCCUGAUUCUUCCUCCCUUUCUCAUUUUUCUCCCCAUUUGCGUCCUCCUUCCUUCACAUCUUCACUAAAGUGAGUAAACGACUCUGAUUUCUUUGUUCAUAAUCAUUUUACUCUGUCUUCUCAAGACACAAUGAUGAAAUUUGCACCAUUCAAGACUAAUGUUGAACUUAUUUAUAAGCAUGCUAUCCCCAUUCCAAAUAGUGAGUGCUGCAAGAAUUUGCAGCUUGGAGUGAGCUUUGCUGGUGGAUACAUUGCUGGUGCUUUCUGUGCUAUUGUCUCUCAUCUUGCCGACAACUUGUUUCAUUCCUGAACAUUGCAAAGGGAGCUGCUGUUGGUGAUGUAAGGGCCUGUUUACAUUUUCAAAUAAUCUUAAAUAAUGAUCCUUGCUAUUUCUACCUCCUGUUCAUCUUCAUAUUUGCAUUUUUAGUGGUAUAGUGAAUAAUAAAAUUCUACUCUCUCUAUCCCUAUGAGAAUGCACCCAAAUUAUUUUAGGUGAAAUUUAGUGAAAAGUGAAAUUAGAUUGGAGAAUAAGACAAAAAAAUAAGUGGAUGAUAGAAAUGAGUGGUUAAGAUACAGAGAGAUAAUAAGUUUGUGGAUGAGAUUUUAGAAAUAAAGUGGGGUCAUUGCCAAAAAGAAAAAGGGUGCAAAACGAGUGGGAUAAACUGUGCAAAUUGUGAAGGACAGAGGGAGUAUUAAAUAAGCGAUCUUCAAAGAUAUAUCCUUUUAGAGUGUUGGGCUAAGUCUAACUAGGAUUUGUAACAGUAAAUUUGAAUCUCUUGCUGACAUGUAAGUUUGCCUUAAUUCUUGAAAAUUGUUGCGUCCAUAUUGAAAAGAUUUGCAUUAUAGGAGAUAUAUUAUGGGAUUUCUUGGUUGUUUCUCCAUGGGUCUUCUAUAGCCUAUAGGGGACAGAAAAGAUUGUCUUGUUAGUCCCUUAAAUGAGGUCUUUCAUGAAGAGCUUUCAAUGGUUCACUCUUGUGAGAGCUGUUCAUGUUUUGUUUUAAAAGUUGGUUUACUAGUGGUUGCAAAUGGUUAUGGAAGUAUGCAGUGGUGUGCGGGUUGUUUUAAAAGGCCAUUGGGAUAUGCAUUUAUUGAGUUUGAUGAUAAAAAGAGAUGCUCUUGAUGCAAUUCGAGCUCUUAAUUGUAUCUCCUCUUAUUUUGAUCGUGGUUUCAUGUAUUUAGGAUUAAAGCUUUGGCAUUUUCCGAUUGUGGUUUUAUUAAAUUAAUGAAAGUUGGAGUUUACUCA